rfam:Gorilla gorilla gorilla genomic chromosome, chr12, whole genome shotgun sequence
GUCAGGCAUGGUGGCGGGUGCCUGUAAUCCCAGCCACUUGGGAGGCUGAGGCAGAAGAAUCGCUUGAAUCCAGGAGGCUGAGGUUGCAGUGAGCUGAGACUGCGCCACUGCACUCCUGCCUAGAUAACAGAGUGAGAUCCUGUCUCAA